AAAGUGGCUGUGAAAAAGAGGUCUGAUUUUGGAAACUCAAGAGAGCAAAACUCAUAGGCUGAGAGGUUUUGCAGUGAAAGAUAUCUGAUGUAGCUUUGGAGCCUUCUUUCUGAGCUUAGUAGGAAAGACGUAUCCCUGCGUUAAAGGGUUUGAGAGCUGCUUUUAGCAGAAUUAAGGUGGUACCGCGAAUGAGUCCCUUCGUCCUUAAA
rnacentral:ncRNA from 1 species